AGUGAACGCUGGCGGUAGGCCUAACACAUGCAAGUCGAACGGCAGCACAGUAAGAGCUUGCUCUUACGGGUGGCGAGUGGCGGACGGGUGAGGAAUGCAUCGGAAUCUACUUUUUCGUGGGGGAUAACGUAGGGAAACUUACGCUAAUACCGCAUACGACCUACGGGUGAAAGCAUGGGAUCUUCGGACCUUGCGCGAUUGAAUGAGCCGAUGUCGGAUUAGCUAGUUGGCGGGGUAAAGGCCCACCAAGGCGACGAUCCGUAGCUGGUCUGAGAGGAGGAUCAGCCACACUGGAGCGGAGACACGGUCCAUACUCCUGCGGGAGGCAGCAGAGUGGAAUAUUGGACAAUGGGCGCGAGCCUGAUCCAGCCAUACCGCGUGGGUGAAGAAGGCCUUCGGGUUGUAAAGCCCUUUUGUUGGGAAAGAAAAGCAGCAGGUUAAGACCCCGCUGUUCUGACGGUACCCAAAGAAUAAGCACCGGCUAACUUCGUG
rnacentral:rRNA from 1 species